CUCUAUUCCAGAAGCAGUCUGGAGCACAAAGAAUCCCUAAUCACUGACAUUAAGAAAGAAGAAAAAUAUUCCUAGGACGAUCCUGGAGAGCAAAGGUCAUCAGCAGUCACUUGACUUUCCUUGGAUUUCUCAACUGCAGUAGUCACAUGGUCUGCUGAAAAUGAAUUCUCUUUAUUUUCAUCUGAUUUCAAGGAAUUAUGGUUUUCAGUGAUUUCUUCAUUUGGAUCUAUUUUGAGACAGAGUAAUAGCAUUAAAACCCCCUUCUGAAUUAAUAAGAGAAAGAAGAGACACAGACAUGCAGAGAAAACACAGGGAAGAAGGCCACAUGGGAUGAAGGCAGAGAAGGGAAUGAUGCAGCUACAAGCCAGCUACAAGCCAAGGAAUGCCAUGGACUGCUGGCAACCACUAGAAAGAAGCUGGAAGAGGCAAGGAAGGAUUCUUCCGUGAUGCCUUCAGAGGAAAAUGGCCCUGCAAACACCUUGAUCUUGGACUUCUGACCUCCAGAACUAAGAGAAUACAUUUCUGUUGUUUUAAGUUAACCAGUUUGUGGCAAUUUGUUAC
rnacentral:lncRNA from 1 species